AUAUUUUUGUCUAUGCUUAUCCUUAUUUUCCUACCUGUGCUGUGGCCAGGAGGAUGUACAGAACCAAACAACGUACAGGUUUGGUGAUGAUGGGACGUCAGAGGAACACUCGGAUGCAUAGAAACACCUGCCAGCAAGAGCAGGAAUGUAAAAAAUGGAUAUGUUUGCAGGGGAUCCAGCAGAGAGAAGAGCAGGAUCAUACGACUGCAUGAGAUGACACAAGGCUCUCCUGAGCAGCCCACGCUCCCUGUCCGAGCACUGAGCCCAUGGACGCACCUCUUUAUCCUGACUCUACUGACUGCUUUAAAGGAUGCUCUGG
rnacentral:lncRNA from 12 species